UGUAAAUAUACAAGCACAUAAUAUUGCUGUUCAUCCAGUACCAUACCUCAGAGGAAUAAACAUUGGAGGUGAUGAUGGCAUUGUAUUUUUAAAAAUUCAACAACCUGUAAUUGGGGAAAAUAUUUUUUACGUUAACAACCUAGCACAUUCGAAAUGUUCUUUGUGUCAAAAAAAUAUUGGGGAUAUGAUAAGUCUUCCUUGUUGGCACUGGUUUGUUUGUAA